AUGAGGUCAAAGACUUUGUCCCGGGGACCUUCCCUUUUCUGUACAGUUCAGGAAAGCACUAACGAAAGCUUCUACAGAGUUGGGAGUGUGUCAGCUGUACCAAGUAUUAACGUGAAGUGGCAAGAGAACAGAGUGCAAAAGAAGGCAAGAAGGAAUAAGAACUUUUAUAUUUAUGCUUGCUUGUGCAAAUUAUACAAACCAUCAUGGAAAUGCCUGACGCAACGACUGGCACCCAGUAGAAUGGAUGACGUCUUAAUGCGCCUUUGUCCCAUGAGCUGCGUGGCCCUCAGGACAUCGAGCUGA
rnacentral:lncRNA from 1 species